CAGUCGCCGCGGUAAUACGUAGGGUGCGAGCGUUAAUCGGAAUUACUGGGCGUAAAGCGUGCGCAGGCGGUUGUGUAAGACAGGUGUGAAAUCCCCGGGCUUAACCUGGGAACUGCGCUUGUGACUGCACAGCUAGAGUAUGGCAGAGGGGGGUGGAAUUCCACGUGUAGCAGUGAAAUGCGUAGAGAUGUGGAGGAACACCGAUGGCGAAGGCAGCCCCCUGGGCCAAUACUGACGCUCAUGCACGAAAGCGUGGGGAGCAAACAGGAUUAGAUACCCGAGUAGUCCCUGUCUCUUAUAC
rnacentral:rRNA from 1 species